rnacentral:rRNA from 1 species
CCUACGGGUGGCUGCAGUGGGGAAUAUUGGACAAUGGGCGCAAGCCUGAUCCAGCCAUACCGCGUGGGUGAAGAAGGCCUUCGGGUUGUAAAGCCCUUUUGUUGGGAAAGAAAAGCAGUCGAUUAAUACUCGGUUGUUCUGACGGUACCCAAAGAAUAAGCACCGGCUAACUUCGUGCCAGCAGCCGCGGUAAUACGAAGGGUGCAAGCGUUACUCGGAAUUACUGGGCGUAAAGCGUGCGUAGGUGGUUGUUUAAGUCUGUUGUGAAAGCCCUGGGCUCAACCUGGGAAUUGCAGUGGAUACUGGGCGACUAGAGUGUGGUAGAGGGUAGUGGAAUUCCCGGUGUAGCAGUGAAAUGCGUAGAGAUCGGGAGGAACAUCCAUGGCGAAGGCAGCUACCUGGACCAACACUGACACUGAGGCACGAAAGCGUGGGGAGCAAACAGGAUUAGAUACCCAAGUAGUC